CUUGCACACAGCCAAUUACAUUCUUCUGAAGCGUUUUACAAACCUUCCUUCCAGGCCGCACGAGGAGCCUACGGAGCCACCUCGCCCCCACGGGAGUUAAGCACUCCUGCGCGUACGCAGUCCAAUUCAGGCAGCUGGAUGCCGCACGCACACAUCAACGGAUAGAGCUUUGUUUCAACAGAGGCAAAAGUCACAGCUGAAGUGCCUGGUGAAUUUAGUGACGUGGGACAAUUCCUAGCAACUGGGAAGCCACAAAAAUGAAAAGGGAGACUGCUUUCUGGAUGGUUGCCUGUUUACUGUUCACAUCUCUACCCAGAGGUCAGCCAGACACAACGUGCCAUGCAUUUGUGGGAGAAACUGUCAUUUUGCCUUGUACCAUCACCUCUCCUGGAGAGCUAGAUGUUUCCGAUUCAAAGCUCUACUGGCAGAUAGAGUCUACUAUAGUGCAUUUUUUUCACAAUGGGGAAGAUUCACUGAGGUACCAGGAUAUAAAUUACCGUGGCAGAACCAGUCUUUUUUUGGAUGAGGUGAAGCAUGGCAACUUUUCUCUACAGCUCUCCAACAUCCGAUUAGAGGAUGCAGCUGAAUAUACUUGCAUCUAUAAACAGGCUAGGACUCUCUCCAACAAAACACAGAAAUCUAAAAUUAAACUCAAUGUAUCAGUCUGGGAGGCACAUGGAACUUUGGACGUUAAAGGACCUGCUGAGAACAGAGAGACUAUGUGCACAAAUAACUCCCACACUUUGCCUUCACUAUAAACAGAUCAGUAG
rnacentral:lncRNA from 1 species